CCUACGGGAGGCAGCAGUGAGGAAUAUUGGUCAAUGGACGAGAGUCUGAACCAGCCAAGUAGCGUGAAGGAUGACUGCCCUAUGGGUUGUAAACUUCUUUUAUAUGGGAAUAAAAUGUUCCACGUGUGGGAUUUUGUAUGUACCAUAUGAAUAAGGAUCGGCUAACUCCGUGCCAGCAGCCGCGGUAAUACGGAGGAUCCGAGCGUUAUCCGGAUUUAUUGGGUUUAAAGGGAGCGUAGGUUGAUUGUUAAGUCAGUUGUGAAAGUUUGCGGCUCAACCGUAAAAUUGCAGUUGAAACUGGCAGUCUUGAGUACAGUAGAGGUGGGCGGAAUUCGUGGUGUAGCGGUGAAAUGCUUAGAUAUCACGAAGAACUCCGAUUGCGAAGGCAGUUCACUGGACUGCAACUGACACUGAGGCUCGAAAGUGUGGGUAUCAAACAGGAUUAGAUACCCCAGUAGUC
rnacentral:rRNA from 1 species